UGGGGAAUAUUGCACAAUGGGCGCAAGCCUGAUGCAGCCAUGCCGCGUGUAUGAAGAAGGCCUUCGGGUUGUAAAGUACUUUCAGCGGGGAGGAAGGGAGUAAAGUUAAUACCUUUACUCAUUGACGUUACCCGCAGAAGAAGCACCGGCUAACUCCGUGCCAGCAGCCGCGGUAAUACGGAGGGUGCAAGCGUUAAUCGGAAUUACUGGGCGUAAAGCGCACGCAGGCGGUCUGUCAAGUCGGAUGUGAAAUCCCCGGGCUCAACCUGGGAACUGCAUUCGAAACUGGCGAGCUUGAGUCUCGUAGAGGGGGGUAGAAUUCCAGGUGUAGCGGUGAAAUGCGUAGAGAUCUGGAGGAAUACCGGUGGCGAAGGCGGCCCCCUGGACGAAGACUGACGCUCAGGUGCGAAAGCGUGGGGAGCAAACAGG
rnacentral:rRNA from 1 species